CAUCGAAACACCGGUCCUCUUUACGAUGACCGAAGUUAAGCUAUGUCGAGCCUGGUCAGUACCUCGAUGGGCGACCGCUUGGGAAUACCACGUUCUGCAAG